rnacentral:rRNA from 1 species
CAGGGUGUGGAAAAUAGGGCUUCCCGUCCGCUCAGCCGUACUCAAGCCACACGCCGGGAGGUUAGUAGUUGGGUGGGUGACCACCAGCGAAUCCCUUCUGUUGUAUGUA